rnacentral:tRNA from 1 species
GGGGCCGUAGCUCAGCUGGGAGAGCGCCGCGCUGGCAGCGCGGAGGUCGUCGGUUCGAACCCGUCCGGCUCCA